UACGUAGGGCGCAAGCGUUAUCCGGAAUUAUUGGGCGUAAAGAGCUCGUAGGCGGUUUGUCGCGUCUGCCGUGAAAGUCCGGGGCUCAACUCCGGAUCUGCGGUGGGUACGGACAGACUAGAGUGAUGUAGGGGAGACUGGAAUUCCUGGUGUAGCGGUGAAAUGCGCAGAUAUCAGGAGGAACACCGAUGGCGAAGGCAGAUCUCUGGGCCGUAACUGACGCUGAGGAGCGAAAGCGUGGGGAGCGAACAGG
rnacentral:rRNA from 1 species